rnacentral:rRNA from 1 species
AUUCCGUAAGAUUCACCCAUGCAUGUUUCUGACAUUUGAAAAAUGGAUUGCUCAGUAAUACUCACUUUAUUUUAUGUAAAUUUUUAAUUAACUACGUUAAAGUGUAUAUAAAAUGUUUACAGUAAGAGUGAGACCUAUCAACUAGUUGUUAAGGUAAUGGCUUAACAAGGCUGUGACGGGUAACGGUAUUACUUUGUAAUAUUCCGGAGAAAGAGCCUGACAGACGGCUACUAACUCUAACGAUUGCAUCAGGGGCGAAACUUGACCUAUGGAUUUUAUCUGACGCAGUUAUGGGAAGUAAUAUUAUAUUGUUUCAUAUUUUAAAAGUAUAUGAGGUGAUUAAUUGGAGGGCAAAUCAAGUGCCAGC